AGCGCCGCGUACGUGCGGCGGCAGGCCCCGCCUCUUCUGGGCGGAGCUCAAGAACCCGCGGGCAGCGGGCCACGGCCGCCUUACUGCCUCUGGUGCUUGUUUAGGUGCUGAGGCGGCGACUGCGCUGGUGGCGCCAAGGCCGAGCCCCAGGUGGAGGUGAACCUCCGCCGGCGCUGCCUCCCUGCAGCAGUCUGGGACGUCUCGGCGGUUCUGCGCAUUGCCGGGGUGAGGAUGCGGCUCUUCUUUCGGCUGCUCAAGCAGCCGGUCCCCAAACACAUCGAGCGCUACUCCCGCUUCUCUCCAUCGCCGCUGUCAAUCAAACAGUUCCUGGACUUCGAGGAUGCCAUUCCAACACCAGCAGGCUGAAUGCGGUUGUGAAACACCUGAAAAUAAAACAAAAAUGGAACUCAGCAUUGCCGAAGGAAAAUCAAGGAGAUGUCUACCUACUGGAAGUUUCUGAGACAGAGUGCCUGUUUUCCUGUACAGGUUUUGCUACAUGGUUGUCACACUUAAUAGACAGGGUUUCUCUGUACUGCCCUGCCUGUCCUGGAGCUAGCUCUGUAGACCAGGCUGGCCUCAAAUUCACAGGGCCUGCCUCUGCCUCCCAAGUGCGAGAUUAAAGGUGUGUGUUUCUGGGGAUGGAACUCUGGUUCUCAUAGUUGUGAGGAAUGUACGAGGUAUUCCUCCAAUUGCCCUUUAUUUAAAGUGUCAUCAGACAUGUUCUGGAUGGAGAAGACACAGAAGAACACAUAUGGACGAAGAGAUAAUGCAUGUGGAAAAACUUCAUAUAUGUUUCUGCGCAAGGAGCUUCCUGUACUACUGGCUAACACAAUGAGAGAAGUUAAUCUUUUGCCAGAUAACUUGUUCAGAGUUGGUACAUGCAGAGCUUCCUUGAACUUUUAGAAUAUGAAAACAAGAGCCCAGAAGACCCACGGGUUUUAGAUAAGUCUCGAAUUCACAAACAAGGAAAUAUGGAGUUCAGAAGUUUAGAAGCAUGUUCUCCAGGAUGUGACACUGCAUAGGAGAGCACCUAUAAGUUGUGGUUCCUUUUCCUUAGUAUACUGGUUCUUCCAUUGUACCGCAAUGCCAAAACAGCUAGUUCUAGCCAGGAGAAGGUUUAGUUGUAUUUUCUGUGAUGGAUCUGUGAAAUAUGAAAAGUUCAAUGUUAGUAAAGGAAGAAGUGAAAGGUGAGAUAGUGUCCUGGUAACAGCCCUUUCUGUUCAGAGAGAAGUUACAUGGGCCCACUACCUGGGGGGGUCAUCUAUGUAAAUCACAUUGAUCAUCAUGAAGGAGAUAGAAAAGCCCGGGAGGAUAGGGAGGUAUUCUGAGAAUUAAUCCAUUAAAGUAAGCCUCUUCCCUUCAAGUAAAGAUGUUUCUGCACUAUAAUGAAUUGUUUUAUUUUAAUUUAUAAAUAGAUACAUUGGAAAGAGGUAUAUUAAGAAAAAUUAUCCAUUGUAAUAUUUCUUGUGAAUAAUUGUGAACUUGGGCUUUUUGUUUUGUUUUGUUUUUGAGACAGGGCCUCACUGUGUGGUUCAGGCUGGUUUUGCACUCAGAGAUCUGCCUUUCUAUGCCUCCUGAGUGCUAGGACUAAAGAUGUUAGCUACAUCAUUUCUUCUACCCUUCUACCCUAAGCAUUCAUAUUGCAUGAGUGUGAAGUCUAUUGUUUUUGUUUGUUUAGUUCUUUUUUUUUUUGGUUUUUCAAGACAGAGUUUCUCUGUGGCUUUUGAGUCUG